CUAUUUUGUACCAAUACAAUAUAUUAAUUUUACAAAUGUAAAAUUUUAUCCGCUGUUAAAGCAUUUGCAAAAACCACACAUCCUACUUCAGCUUUAUUGCACAAUAUCAGUCCAAGAUACUUAAUCCAAACUGUAUCAUUCUUCAUUAGAAAUCUAGACGCCACUCAAGGUGGUUUCUUUAAACAGUUGAGGCAUUCUCAGUUGUGAGCAUUCUGAGUGUAUCUUACACAUUAAAAACCAUCCUUCCAACUCCACAGCCAUCUGCAGGGUUUUCUCCUUCAUGCAGAUUCUCUGGCAACUGUGUCCAAUGUCUAUCAAAUGAUCAUUUCAAUUAGUUUAUGCUGAUAGAAAACACUGAGUUAGAGACACCUUUAAAACCUAGUCCUUUUACAAAAAUCAGUUUAUAAAUUUGUAUCAUAAAAAUUAGUGU
rnacentral:lncRNA from 1 species